CAUAGCAGCCGCCGCCAACCCAACACUUCGUGCGGUUUGCACGAACAUUUUUCUUUCUACUAAUAAACUUUAAAAAACAAAUAUUUUAAAACUCUUAUAUGGAACACGAUCGCACCAAAUCCUCUAUUUGUUAUUAUUUUGUAAAAUUGAAAGUAUUUCGUACAGAAAUGGAAUAUAUUUAAAAUUCUGUAGUUCAAGAAAUUUUAAUGGUUCCAUUCGAUAUUAAUAAAAGUGUUUCUCAUCUUUGGAUUGAGGCUCUCUUUGCGAACGGACAUGGGCUCCUCGUGCAUAAAAUAUUUAUCAACAUCAUCAGCUGCCUUUGACAAUUUCAAAUGGAUUGCCGGAAUUAAGAAACAACUGCCGACUCUGGUUCCUGCGCAUUGGAUACUUUCCGAUUCCUACGUAACUUCAAAAACAAAAUAAAAUCAGCAAAUAAAUUCAUAUUGUGACAUUGGGUUGGACUUUUUUUUAAGUUCAGCUCUAUAUUGAAACCAGCUUCCAACCUGAACAGUUCGUUUAGUUUUGUAAAAACCAUCGGAAAAUUAUUUGAACAAAAAUGGCAAUCGUAGUUACUUCGAGUUCAUCGCGAAAAUCACGACAGGACACCGGGCAUCUUUAUCGAGAAGAUUUUGAUGGUGGGCCAGUUAGUAUGGACGAAAUCGAAAAUGGUCUCUUCUUAGGGAACCUUACAUCUGCAACAAACAUGGAAACACUAAAAUCGCACAAGAUCACACAUAUACUUACUUUAGAUUCGGUGCCGCUCCCUUCUCAUAUGCAGCAAGUUUCAUUUCUAACAACAAAAUAUGUGCAGAUUUCCGAUAUGCCAAAGGAGGAUAUUCUACAUCAUUUGGACCAAUGCACAGAAUUCAUCAGCUCGGCUUUGGAUAAGGGAGAAAAUAUAUUGGUGCACUGUUAUUUCGGUGUAAGUCGAAGUUCAACAGCUGUUAUCGCUUAUAUGAUGAAAAAACACAAUUUAGAAUAUCAACAAGCUUUUGAAAUAGUCAAAUCUAAGCGUAAAUUUGUACAGCCUAACUCUGGUUUCGUGAAUCAAUUGAAACUUUAUCGACGAAUGGGUUGUACUAUUGAUCCUCAAUUUGAUAAGUACAAAGCGUAUCGUCUAAAAUUAGCUGGCGAACAAGUUAGAAAAGCAAAAAUUCUUCCUCAAAAUUUUACGAAUUUAAUCAAACCUGAUCCUGCAAUAACUCAAGAAAAUCCAGAACCAAUAGUUUAUAGAUGCCGAAAAUGCCGCCGAGUAGUUGCUUCCAAAUCCAAUGUUCUUCUACAUUCGCCUAAAAAUGGACCACUUUCACAAUUACCAAUCGAUGAUGGGACUGAAAAUACAAAUGCUGCUGCCACAUCAACUGUCACCACACAAGAAACACCCGUUGCUGCUCCAACACGACUCAUCGAUCAAAUUGCCGAACAAAUACGCAGAGUAUCAGUUUUCGAUAGAGCUAAUGAUGCAAAAUGUAAGAGUAUUUUGUUUCUGGAACCCAUCGCUUGGAUGAAAAAUAUUUCUAAUAAUACUCAAGGACGUUUGAAUUGUCCUAAAUGCGAGCAGAAACUGGGUAACUUUAGCUGGAUAAAUGGAUGUCAAUGUCCAUGCGGUGAGGAAGUUUCACCAGCGUUUUAUUUAAUUGCAUCAAGAGUAGAACUAACAAAAGCAGUACAAAACGUGCAGACCACUGUUUAAAAAUAUAAACAAUAAAUUCAUAAUCAUAACAAUUCAACAUAUCAAAUUGAUUUUGGAUGGGUUCAAUUUGACUUUAAGUUUCAACUUCAAGGUUGAAAGCAUUUUUGAAAUCUUCAAUUGUGAAUUUCUUGAAUUUUCCCAUAUAGUUUUUUGAUGAUGAGGGCAAAACUCCAUGCAAGAGUGUGGCGUAAGCCAUAUAAAUUUACAUUUGAGCUUUUGACAAUAAAGCACUCAGCAAUCCCAUAAAUUAUUCCUGAGUGCUUAAAAUAAAAACUGGCUAAAUCAAAACAAUUUUUUUUUAUUAAAUUUAAAGCAACGCUAAUUUGUAAGAAUUUGCAAAUACAGUGCAACACGGAUAUAAGAGUCUGAAAAUGGAAACAUUUUUUUCUUUUAUCUUAGUAUUUCUUAUAUAUAAGCGUUCUAUUGUCUUUUGCUUUAUUAAGAGCAAAGAAUGUUAUUGGUCUUAAACGGUUACUGAACAUUAUUGUUGUUCUUGCUAUACAUAUAUUAUACUUACGUCAACCUCAGAUUUUACAACCUUGCCACUUAAGAACUAUGCCAAAGAAGUGGUGCCGAGAUUCUCUGACGAGACUUUAUUUAUUAGAUACUCCCGAUGUCGCUUUUCAAUUCUAUCUUAAACGUAAUUAUUCUUCCUUUUUCUGUAGUUAGUGAUGAAAGUUUCUUCAAGAACGUUAUCAGAUUCCAUGUUCCCUUCUACCACAAGGUGUUCUGCCAACUUGACGUCAGAAUCUUCGGAAGAAAUAACAGCUGGCGGCUGAAUUUCGUGCAUUAAAUCGAAGUACACCCGAAAUUUUCUCAAGUUUCCAGUCCAUCUGGUCGAGGCGGCAAUCUGUAAAAAAAAAAUAAUAUAGAGAGUGAGAGGAUAGAAGGAGGAAGAUAGUUAAGUUAAAUAAUUAUGCUGCGCCGGUGCGAGUGCUAGAGCCAACAACCAAAAAGAUUUUUCGUACGGAGCAGUAAAACGCAUACAAAUAAGUUCAUAUUUACAUUCGAAAUAUUUGGUAAUAAAGUACCGCAUACGGAGGGCAUCGAUCAACGCAUUGGCAUGCGAACGGGGAUUGAAAGCACACACCCCGAACCGAUUCUCCAGUGGCUGAUUCCUCUCACUCUGUUGCAAUACUAUCAUCACUCGGAGCAGGAGAACACACAUCUCCGAGUUGGAGGAUAAGCGGAAACCACUACAAACCCACCGAAAAACUAAAUAAUUGUGAACGAAUAGAACGACCCAAAUCACUGGCUGCGAACGGGGUAGGAGCACACACACCCCGAACCGAUUCUCCAAAGGUCUUCCUAUUCUAUUCCGUCACAGCACUACCAAGACACGGAGCAAGAGAUCGCACAUCUCCGUGUGGAAAUAAUAACGCGCUGCUCACUCACUCACUCACGACACAUCUCAUAUUUUUUUUUUUCAAAAUAAAAUCCAUAGGAAAGGAGAGAUAAACAACUAUACUCUCCCUUAUUAUACUAUAUACUACAUAAUAGAGAAAUAAGUUGGUCACGCAAAAGAAAACAAAAGCCGAGGAGGAGAAAAACACUCAAAAAAAAAUACCGUAAACCGGCGACGCUGAAAGUCGUCGAAGUCAAAAACAAUCGUUAUGAAAUUUCGUUUGCGUUACAUAGAAUUAGUAAAGAAAAUUCAAAUAAUGCAACUACACAAAAGUUGGUAUUUAAUAAUUAAAUAAAAUAAAACCGAGGAGGUUACUCACCUAGGUCAACUUACUUCGCCAAUUUCUGUGUAUUGUAAACGAAUUUCGAGAGAGCAGAAAAAUUUUCAAAGUUAUAUACACAGAUGUGUGUUAGAGUAAACCUCUCGAAUACCAAUGGUGGCACAGACUAUACAUACGUUGAGUAAGAAUGGAUAGGGGAAGAAAAUCAGUAAGUAUUUUCAAUUCAAAGUUACUUACUAAAAAAACACUACAACUGGGAGAAAUGAAUCGAACAGCUAUGACUAGGAAAGGAAAAGUAGUUUAUAGUUAGAGUGAAGUAUAGAAACAGAAAUGGGAGAGAAGGAAAGAAGAAGAAUAUAUUUAUGUUUUCUUACAGUUAGUAAAUCGGUUUGGAACAUGUUCAGAAAUAAAAAAACACAGAUUUCUUAAGUAUCAGACCUCAAAAUUAAACACAAUUAUUAUUUUGACAGUUCGAGCUCUGCUCUGAAGUAAAAACGAAAAAAACACCAUUUGAAGCUUGAUACAGUUGCAAUAAAUUCUUCAACUUUGACUGUUUCCAUUUUCAAUUUGCAUCUGCUCGUGCAUGUAGUAGAGAGCUUUUUGUUUCAAAUUUGUGUAUGUUUUUCUUUUAUACAAAAGCUUUUAUAAAGCUUAACAUUACUUGAGGUUGUCCCAAUCACUUUUUCUUUACGGCUCAGUUCCUUUACUUCUAAAUGCCUUUUGUAUUUUUCUUCUAAGCCAGAUUUUGUUUCUCCUAUGGCGUUUUUAUAUUCUUCGCACUGAUCACAUUGAUCUUUUUUUGGGACGAAAAACCCCAAGUUAAAAUCCUCCUUAAAAAUACGCGAGUAGGAAUCAUACGUAGCCGCUGGUUUCAUUGCCAAAUUUCUUUUUUCUUCAUAAUUUCUAUGCAUCUCGGCAAUAGUCAGCCCACCAUCUAUAAACUCGCGACAAGAUUUAGCUCGCAAGUAUUGGCUUUCUAUUCUAGGAAUAGAACUUAUGUGUUAUCGGAUGGAGUUGAGAACUUCUGGCUGUAAUUUAACAUGAUGAGUAUGCUUGCCUCUUUUAUCUUUAUGACGGUUCUGAGUCUACGCUCCUUUAUACCGAAGAUAUUCAAGAGGAAAGGUUUGCAUACUUUUAUGUUUAAUCCGUUAUUCAGCAAUGAAAACGAGUAGUUUUGCUUCCUUGGCUCUUUUCGCAAAGAUCCUGUUUGAAUGCGACGAAACAUGACUUGUAGAGGAGCAAUACAUGAAGCCAAAAAAUCACGUUGCCUUUGCAGUGCUCCUAAUGACCAAUCAUCCUUAAAUAGUUGGGUCCUCUGAUCCUCUGUAAAUUUUGUUGAGCACAAAAGCUUACAGUUACAAACUGGAAACAUGACUCGAUCUCCCACCGUCUUGCCAGAUGUGGAUAUAUAUAUCUGUCCAGCAUUUUUUUUUGGGUUUUCCUUUGGUGUUUUUUUCCAUUGUUGGGGCUUUCGGAUUCUUUUUUUUUUUCUUUUUUUGGUGGUGAUGGAUUGACUUUGUCCGAUGACUGGUCUAUUUGUGGUGGUAAUUGGUCGAUUUUGAUGCUGAUUUGUUAAUCUGUGGUUGAAUUAUAUCGAUUUUUGACUUCUCAAUGUAAGAAGAAUCUGACGACACAGAGUGGGAACUUUCAUCACGAUAGGGAUUGUAUCCACUUUCCUCCCCGGAAAAAUCUUCAUCUGUUGAGCCUUGGACUUCAUAAGUUCUCUCGUUUAAGUCUCAAACAAAUUAAACUUGGUUGAAGUCCAGAUCCAGAGGCUAAAAGUUCACCUGUUUGUGCUGUUUUACAUCUGGUAUACCCUCGACGAAAUAUUCGAUGAGACUCUCUUCAUCUAGCUCUAUUUGCUUCCCUAUCUCUAAAAGUCCAUAUAGAUAUUCUAACAACGUUUCGGUUAACUUCUUCUGCCUAGUCCUCAACCUACGGUGAACUUCCGCCAAUGAUAACUUUGUCCCAAUGAGAGUUUGUCUUUAAUGAGAGCUUGCUUCAAAGCGUCCCAGCUUUUGAUACGCACCUGACUUCUAACGAACAACUUGGCUGCACCCUUCAACAAUUGCUUCGCGUAGAUGUACAUUUGGAUCUCGUCCCAGUCGACAGCUAUCGCAUUUUCUUCAAAUUCCUGGAUCCAGAGAUUGAUGUCUACUGAACCAGUACCAUCGAAAUGGGCUAACGAGUCUUGAAUAUCCCUUAAAGUAAAGUUACGUGCCCUCACAACUUCGACAAGCCUUGACCUUUGUUCGCUCCUGUCGUCAUCGCUAUCAUCAUCGUUACGUGAUAGCCCAAAGUGGGAGAGCAGUCUGUCCUGUAGCCUGUAAAUUCAGUUAUGUCAACCUUUCUCUUAAAAGUUCUACCGUCAAAGACAAUAUCUCAUCCCCUUCCAUAUUCAAUAAUUUAUUUUACCUUUAUAAUUAAAUUCAGAAAAAUGUUUUUGUCUAACAAAAAAAAAUACCAGCUUUUACAAAUUUACAUAAAUGAACAAAAAGAAAAUUUAUUGGCAAUGGUCUUCGCUUACCUACAUACAAUUUGUAACACAAAACAAAUUCUGCAAAUGUUGUCUCCUCUCGUCUGCCUCGACGCAGCACUCUUCCCCUUUGUUUGCCUGGACACGGCACUCUUCACUCGCCUUGACACGGCACUCUUCGUUCGCCUUGACACGGCUUUUUAUUCAAUAACUGUG